UACUAAGUACACAUACAGAACCUAAGAUAGGAUACGAGUUAUGUAUUUCACAUAAUUGAAAACCUAAUUACAGCCCCCCCCAAAAGAAGUAAGAAGCAUGAGAAUCAUGACGGUUUCAGUUCUGGCCGAAGAAGGAAUUGAUGACCCUCCCUC